CUAUCACCUCGAAAGAGAAUAUUUCUGGGAAUAUUAAGAAGGGGUCACAAGGCAGACUCAGGGGUUGGGUUUUGUGUGUAACCAUGGUAUGGAAUCCACACGCAGUCCAUGUUGCUAGCUCCGGUUUUGGAGGCUGAGAGGUGACUAAGUCAGGCGUUCAACCUAGAUUCUUCAACCUAGUCCUUCACUUAAGCACUUGGCUGAAAGAUUGGCUUCAGAAGACAGUACUCCAGCUGGGAUGUUGCACAUGGAACAGAUUGAUCUUGAAAUCUGGUCCUGAAGUCAACUUCACAGCAGGAAUUUCACACAUGCAGGCACAAACCAGCACUUGUGAAAAUCUCCAUGAAAUAGCUGCUAAUAUUGUCUAAACUGGCUUUCAGCUCGGUAGCCAGUCUUCCAGAUAAAUGUCAAAUUAACUGGAUAAUUAUACCUCAAUAUGAACUCAAUGUCCAACAUUAGCUUUUUGGGAGAUUUAUUUUUCUUUAAACUGUGCUGGCUUCGUAAUCUUAUAGAAACAUUGUUUAUCUCAGAUUCUGAGAAGUAUUCAAAUAAGUAAAAGAGUAAAUGAAAUGGAUUAUCAUUUUCCUCUUUCCUCUUCCCUCCCUCCCUUCCUCCUUCUUUCCCUGUACCUAGUGUGUGUGCAAAGAACUAUGCUGGGUGUUGUGGAAUAAAACAAGUUAACAUAUAACCUUUCAGUAAUCAACUAGCAACCUCAUGGGGAAGACAGAAAAAUGCUAAGCGUAAAAUACCGUAAAUAUGCUCUAAUAGAAAUAUCAACUAUGUAUUUUGAAAACAUACAGAUUCUAAGUCCCAAAACAACCAGGACCUGCUGUCUUGGCUACUGCUUUUAACUAUGUUGGUUAGCAAGAUGAUGACACAUAGUAGGUGUUCAAAAGAUAGAACAGGGAAUGUACUUUCUAAUUUUGUGAAAAAGAUGAGUAGCAAAGAAAUGAAAACAAAGAUUAUAUUUGAGCUGGGAUAUAAAGGAAUUUCUUUUUUCUUAACCUGUUUUAAUUUUGUUGUUUUUGUUUUGUGAAAAAAAAACACUGGAUGCUUCAAACACUUUCUCUUUCUACAGUGACCCCCACCUUUACAAGUGUCUGUAAUUCUCACUAGCAGUAUAUUAGAGGGCAAAAGAUUUGAACAGACACAUCAGAAAAGAAGACAUACAAAUGGCCGCUAAGCACUUGAAAGGAUUCUGAACACCAUUAGUCAUCAGUGAAAUGCAAAUUAAAGCCAUAAUGAAUGGCGCUAUACAUUUUCAGAAUGGCAAGGAUUGAAGACCGAAAAAAAUCAAGCGUUGAGGAGAGUGACAAAUGGGGAGACAGCCGUGGUGCAUGAUCGCCGAAUAAAUACCAUGUGAGGAUACAGCAAGAAGGUGGCCAUCUACAAGCCAAGGAGACAGGCCUCAGAAGAAACCAACCCUUCUUACACCCUGGACUCAGACUUCUAAUCUCCAGAACUUGUUAAUGCACAAGGUCUUGUGUUGAAAAUGUAGAGCCACGAGAUAAAAGCAGCUUGGAUGGCUGACUCAUAUACAAGGACAACUGCCUGAGAGUCACCAGGGCUAUCAAGAAGUUUGCAGAAACAAGAAAUAAACUUUUACUGUUUUAAACUUUUGUGAAUUUUGGGUUUUGUUUAUCACCAAAUAAACCUAGUCUAUUCUGAUUGUUAUAA
ensembl:lncRNA PYDC2-AS1 PYDC2 antisense RNA 1